AUUGAACGCUGGCGGCAGGCCUAACACAUGCAAGUCGAACGAGUGGCGGACGGGUGAGUACUGUCUGGGAAACUGACCGAUGGAGGGGGAUAACUACUGGAAACGGUAGCUAAUACCUCAUGCCAUCGGAUGUGCCCAGAUGGGAUGAGCUGGUGGGGGGGGUAACGGCUCACAUAGGCGACGAUCCCUAGCUGGUCUGAGAGGGUGAACAGCCAACCGGGAACGGAGACACGGUCCAGACCCCUACGGGAGGAAGCAGUGGGGAAUAUUGCACAAUGGGCGCAAGCCUGAUGCAGCCAUGCCGAGUGUAGGAAGAAGGCCUUCGGGUUGUAAAGUACUUUCAGCGAUGAGGCGUUACUCGCAGAAGAAGCACCGGCUAACUCCGUGCCAGCCGCCGCGGUAAUAC
rnacentral:rRNA from 1 species